GGAGCCGGACAGAUAUUAAGCCACAUGGUACCAGGUGACUUUCAAAUGUAGAGCUAUAUCUCACAACUGAGAUUGUUUGUAACAGGUAUCUACAUGAAAGGAUAAUCAGCCAAAUAUUACAUGAAAGGUAUUUUAGUUGCAGAAACAGGACAUUUAGCAGAGGAAAGAAAAGGCACAAGUUUCAAAUUUUGGAGGAAAUAAGCAAACGAACUGCGCUGUGAAUGGAGAAAUGACAAAUCCAAAGAAGAAGCCAACUUUGAAACUCAAUUGAAGAGAACUGGAUGUGCUUAAAGUACAACUGUAGCACAAUUUUCCUAUUACCCUCUACAUUUUUAGAAGUUUAUGGAAGUAUACAUGUCAUCUUCGUUAU
rnacentral:lncRNA from 1 species